rnacentral:tRNA from 1 species
AUAGCUCAGCUGGGAGAGCGCCUGCCUUGCACGCAGGAGGUCAGCGGUUCGAUCCCGCUUAGCUCCA